UACGUAGGGUCCGAGCGUUGUCCGGAAUUAUUGGGCGUAAAGGGCUCGUAGGCGGUUAGUCGCGUCGGGAGUGAAAACUCAGGGCUCAACCCUGAGCGUGCUUCCGAUACGGGCUGACUAGAGGUAUGCAGGGGAGAACGGAAUUCCUGGUGUAGCGGUGGAAUGCGCAGAUAUCAGGAGGAACACCGGUGGCGAAGGCGGUUCUCUGGGCAUUACCUGACGCUGAGGAGCGAAAGCAUGGGGAGCGAACAGG
rnacentral:rRNA from 1 species